rnacentral:RNase_P_RNA from 1 species
UCGGUAAGUCAUGUGAUAGCUAUUUCGGACUUAAUUCAUGAAGAGUCCGAACUAGAGGAAAGUCGGGACACUGACCCCGCCUUGGCGGGGAAACGUAGCGGGUAACACCCGUCACGCGAAAGCGAGAGGUGCGAGCAGAAACGUCGAAAUGCGCAAGCAUUGAGACGCCCACCAAAAUUUGGCGGGCGAACCCUACAGGCAACUGAAGGGAUGAAACGGCAAAAUCCUUACGUCAGUGCAAGGCCGUGUCCUCCAACAUAGUGUUAGAGGAAGUCGCCGCAAGAGUCCGCGAGCAAUCAAGGACCCAGAUAGAUUAUCACUUAAACAGAAUCCCGCUUAUGACUUGCCGAUUUU